CAGCAGUGUGCCCUUGUGGCCCAGAAGCCCAAAGGAAUCCUGGGAGGCAUCAGGAAGAGGAUUUCCAGCAGGUGGAGAGAGAAAAUUCACAGAGUGGAUGGGAGACAGGACCAGGAUAGUGACAGACAUGUCUGGGCACCAGCACUUUCCUUAUCAGCCUGUGCAGUGAAUUCUCUGAAGAAGCAGGGGAAGUUGAUCAGGGCUCCCCAUCUUACCUAAUCUGUCAUUGUUACAGGGAAAGGACCAUCAGGGGAGAAGAUGAGCUUUACUGAGGGCAAAGAACAGGCAGAAGUGUGGAAUAUAUGUUGAACAAAGAAAACAUUCCCUGAGGGAAAUUUCUCACGUAAAACACCAGCAUACAUAUCUGCCUUGUCUCCCGCUUAACAGGAUGGAUAGCCGACCCCAUACACUGAAAAGACGUGUUCUCUUGUCAUCCUUUCCCCCAAGCCCCGGGAGCAGCGGGCGGUCCCGCGGGGACGGGGGUGGCACUCUCCAGGGUCCUGGACUGAAGGCUCGGCAGCGCUGUUGACUGGGCUGGGUCAGGAUCAUGGAACAAGACCACCCCUCUGAUUUCUACACAGAUGACAGCAGAAAGUAUGAGGCUUUCACCCAGAGCCCUCAACACUGUUUCUGUUUCUCUCUUUAGUAAGCAGAAUUAUUAAUUUAGGGGAGCAUAUGGCUUAUUUCUAAUCUGUUGUACAUUAACACUUGGGAACGGGCUCUCUUGCCACACACACACAAAAAAAGCUUUAUGAGAUAUGAAUUGCACAUAAGGAAAACUAGCUAAAGAAACUGAAACAAAUGAGAACAGACAAAGCAGUGGAUCUGUUCUGCAAAUCUGUGAAAUGGGAGUUCAAACUACAAUUGGACAAUUUAACAAAGAAAACAAGGUCGCCCUCUUUCUGAAUGAGGAAGUGAGCAGGGAUUUGGAUGUAAUGUACUAAUGUUCACCCCUGCACACCAAAUGGGAGACUUUCAUUUGAACAUAUUUCUUCUUUAUUCAACAAAAUAAAUUAACCAGAAGAACUAAUAUCUGGCAUAUACCAAGGCAGAUGAGCUCUUUCUCAUGUGACUGGUGACUGUGGAUGUAAAAUUGAACUGUGGAGAAAUCAAUGGCUUCUGCUCUGAAAAUGAGCUAAAACCUGCAAAAAAAGAGUUGGACUAUUAAACAAAAUAGCUACCAAAAUUAUGCCAGGAAAGAUGUGAGUGUACAAGAUGCACUCUUUCUAUUGCAAUUUGGUUGUGUGCCACAUUAAUUCCCAAAGGCAAUACCUUUUCUCAUUUUCUGAAUAAAAUUCUGUGUCCAGUGUACUGU